AUUGAACGCUGGCGGCAGGCCUAACACAUGCAAGUCGAGCGAGCGGCGGACGGGUGAGUAAUGUCUGGGGACUGCCCGAUGGAGGGGGAUAACUACUGGAAACGGUAGCUAAUACCGCAUACUAUCGGAUAACCCAUAUGGGAUUAGCUAGUAGGUGGGGUAAAGGCUCACCUAGGCGACGAUCUCUAGCUGGUCUGAGAGGAUGCUCAGCCACAUUGUGACGCAGACACGGUCCAGACUCCUACGGAGGCAGCAGUGGGGAAUAUUGCCCAAUGGACGCAAGCCUGAAGCAGACAUGCCGCGGGUAUGAAGAAGGCCUUAGGUUUGUAAAGUACUUGCAGCGGGGAGGCGUUACCCGCAGAAGAAGCACCGGCUAACUCCGUGCCAGCCGCCGCGGUAAUUC
rnacentral:rRNA from 1 species